UGUUAGUUUGUUGAAGAACAAAGCCAAGCUUUUAGCUACUGUUUUGCAAGUAUUACGACGCAGAGUUCGUUAAACCAGGUGAAUGCACCCCGUUUACUUCUUUAUUAUUCUGUGCAGAGGUUGUUUUUUUUAAUUCCGCAUUGUUAAUGACCCGUCGAUUUUGAAUAAAAACCCAUUUCACUGUCUGCGUGAUGGCUACUACCUUCUCCACCAACCUUCUCCUCUAUUUGUGGAAACACAACCAUCAUUAUUUACAACCAACGAUCAUUACUCACCUCAGGAACUUAUCCAGAGCUGGAUUUGAACUGCCAUCUUCAGGGAGAGAAGGCCAUGGGAUUAGCCCACUGCACCACCAGCUCCCACAGGAAAGCUCUGCUUCACACUGAAUAUAAGGUCAAUUAAACCAUUUUUUGAAAAAGGAAUCAGCUGGAUUCAAAUCCAGACCCCCCACCGUGCCAUCUCACUUGAGUGGAAGAGUCUGCUUUUUCAUUGAAUAUAUAAGAAAUUAACAAAUUCUUUGAAAAUAAAGGACACCUGCAUUUGAACCCAGUCCCUCAAGGUGGAACAACUGGUCACAUUAGUGAAUUAGACCAUUGUGCCAUCUCAUUUCCAUGGAAAAAGGUACCUUUAAAAUUGUCUAUAUAGGACAUGAUCCAGUUAUUCUUUUGAAAAAUGAAGGAAUCAAUGUUUCUACAACAGUAACUUCCAAUAAAUUUUGGACUACCUAAUGUUAAUUAGAAGGUAGUGCAUGAUUUGAGCCGCAUUUCUCCUCACAGGAAUUGAUGACCACAAAGACUUCCUUUUUGUUUUUCUUUUAAUGUAAAAAAACAAAAAAAAAAAUGCUUAUCAACAGUGCUUCAACAUUUAACAAAGACAUGUAUCAUAACCCCCUUUAUAUUCACAGCCUCUCUAAAAAGCAGCUUCCUACAAACUACCAAUGAGACUCCUCAAAGUUCAGCAAUGAAGGACAAGCGCUGAAAACAGACCCGUGCAGGGUACAGCACGCUCCAGCAAGUGAUUCAAUGGAAGUAGCAGAAACGGCUCAAAUGAAUGUCAGGCAAAAAGGGGUUUAUAGUCAAUGGAAUACAAUAACAUUUAGUUCCUUUUUUUUUCAACUGUAAAAGAAACAUGAACCGCCAGAGAAAGACCAUGCCCAGUGUAAAAAAGAAAAAGUGAACAGGAAUACGAUCUGUAUGAGCCACCAAUAGACUUUAGUAUGAAUUCAGUAUACUCACUUAGAUAUGCCAAUGUGGCAGGGCAGUGCUUUACACUGGCAGUGCACAUAUCUCUUGUAAUGUCUGCACAAUACAGGACAGUUCCACACCAUGUAGUUUCGUUAUCUACUGUACAUUGAAACGAAUGCAGAGCACAAAACACUUGCUUGUCUGUUAGACCUACAGGGUGGUGUGCAGUGACUACAUAUAUAUAUAUAUUUUUUGCAGCAUUCUAGUGUUAUGUUGGGCAGCAAUGCACUUGAUGGUUAGUGCAUGGGCUGUAACGCAGGGUUUGAAGGCUCAGAACUUGACAAGUUCAUGUAGUGGCAGAAAAACUACACCACUUUGGAAUGGUUGGGCGGUACAUAACACAAGCAAAGGUUCCCCUAGAAGAGAAUGAGAUCACACUCUUCAGAUCAUGUUGUUGAAGGAAACGGAGUAAAGGAAUACCAUGUUCACCAGGGCUUUAGCCUCUGUGUGUAGUCCUUUGCAUCUAAACUGUUGCUCGCUGUGUCCUUCACUGGAUAUUAUGAGAUAUGCCCUUUGAACACUGCUGCCACAUUUGUCUCUGUCAUAAUCAAAGACAGUUUAACCCUAUGGAUUAUUUUAAGAAUGGGACACGCCUGGUUUGAGUGGGAAGCUUUGCAAAUUCGUAAUUAAAAAAAAAAACACUACGAGUCACUGCAUACCCCUGCAUACACCACUGAAAUGCUUUACAAUAAAGAACACACCGCAAUACACAUCAAUACGAACCAGAACCGCAGGAGUAACGUCUUCUUCCACAAAGUUAUUUAGAUAAGCUAUACACGACUGGCAAACAGACACCGAACAAUCAAACGCAGAAUCCAUUCUCACAUUUUAUUUCAGUUUGAUGAAUCCUAUGAUACGUACUCCCCCCUCCCCCUGAAAAAUAAGUGAACAGAACUCUUGCAUAGCUAAUGAUAAUCUAAGGCUUCUAUUAGUAGUUAUUAUAAUCUGAUAGAUGACAUGGUGAAAUAUACAUGUAGUCCUUCUGGGGUCAGCCAACAGUCUUAGGAUGAGCAAGAAAAGCAAAAAAACAACAACAACAACAACAACAACAAAAAAUCAAC